GUCGAACGAAGCACUUUAUUUGAUUUCCUUCGGGACUGAUUAUUUUGUGACUGAGUGGCGGACGGGUGAGUAACGCGUGGGUAACCUGCCUUGUACAGGGGGAUAACAGUUGGAAACGGCUGCUAAUACCGCAUAAGCGCACGGCAUCGCAUGAUGCAGUGUGAAAAACUCCGGUGGUAUAAGAUGGACCCGCGUUGGAUUAGCUAGUUGGUGAGGUAACGGCCCACCAAGGCGACGAUCCAUAGCCGACCUGAGAGGGUGACCGGCCACAUUGGGACUGAGACACGGCCCAAACUCCUACGGGAGGCAGCAGUGGGGAAUAUUGCACAAUGGGCGAAAGCCUGAUGCAGCGACGCCGCGUGAGCGAAAAAGUAUUUCGGUAUGUAAAGCUCUAUCAGCAGGGAAGAUAAUGACGGUACCUGACUAAGAAGCACCGGCUAAAUACGUGCCAGCAGCCGCGGUAAUACGUAUGGUGCAAGCGUUAUCCGGAUUUACUGGGUGUAAAGGGAGCGCAGGCGGUGCGGCAAGUCUGAUGUGAAAGCCCGGGGCUCAACCCCGGUACUGCAUUGGAAACUGUCGUACUAGAGUGUCGGAGGGGUAAGCGGAAUUCCUAGUGUAGCGGUGAAAUGCGUAGAUAUUAGGAGGAACACCAGUGGCGAAGGCGGCUUACUGGACGAUAACUGACGCUGAGGCUCGAAAGCGUGGGGAGCAAACAGGAUUAGAUACCCUGGUAGUCCACGCCGUANACGAUGAAUACUAGGUGUUGGGAAGCNUUGCUUCUCGGUGCCGUCGCAAACGCAGUAAGUAUUCCACCUGGGGAGUACGUUCGCA
rnacentral:rRNA from 1 species